rnacentral:rRNA from 1 species
AGUGAACGCUGGCGGUAGGCCUAACACAUGCAAGUAGAACGGCAGCACAGUAAGAGCUUGCUCUUACGGGUGGCGAGUGGCGGACGGGUGAGGAAUACAUCGGAAUCUACUUUUUCGUGGGGGAUAACGUAGGGAAACUUACGCUAAUACCGCAUACGACCUACGGGUGAAAGCAGGGGAUCUUCGGACCUUGCGCGAUUGAAUGAGCCGAUGUCGGAUUAGCUAGUUGGCGGGGUAAAGGCCCACAAAGGCGACGAUCCGUAGCUGGUCUGCGAGGAUGAUCAGCCACACUGGAACUGAGACACGGUCCAGACUCCUACGGGAGGCAGCAGUGGGGAAUAUUGGACAAUGGGCGCAAGCCUGAUCCAGCCAUACCGCGUGGGUGAAGAAGGCCUUCGGGUUGUAAAGCCCUUUUGUUGGGAAAGAAAAGCAGCAGGUUAAUACCCCGCUGUUCUGACGGUACCCAAAGAAUAAGCACCGGCUAACUUCGUG